CAGCCGCGGUAAUACAGAGGGUGCGAGCGUUAAUCGGAUUUACUGGGCGUAAAGCGUGCGUAGGCGGCUUUUUAAGUCGGAUGUGAAAUCCCUGAGCUUAACUUAGGAAUUGCAUUCGAUACUGGGAAGCUAGAGUAUGGGAGAGGAUGGUAGAAUUCCAGGUGUAGCGGUGAAAUGCGUAGAGAUCUGGAGGAAUACCGAUGGCGAAGGCAGCCAUCUGGCCUAAUACUGACGCUGAGGUACGAAAGCAUGGGGAGCAAACAGGAUUAGAUACCCCGGUAGUCCCUGUCUCUUAUACACU
rnacentral:rRNA from 1 species